rnacentral:rRNA from 1 species
AGAAUCAACGCUGGCGGCGUGCCUAACACAUGCAAGUCGAACGAGAAAGUGGAGCAAUCCAUGAGUAAAGUGGCAACCGGGUGAGUAACACGUGACUAACCUACCUUCGAGUGGGGGAUAACCUCGGGAAACCGGGGCUAAUACCGCAUAAUGCCUUCGGGUUAAAGGAGCAAUUCGCUUGAAGAGGGGGUCGCGGCUGAUUAGCUAGUUGGCGGGGUAACGGCCCACCAAGGCGAUGAUCGGUAGCCGGCCUGAGAGGGCGCACGGCCACACUGGAACUGAAACACGGUCCAGACUCCUACGGGAGGCAGCAGUGGGGAAUUUUGCGCAAUGGGGGAAACCCUGACGCAGCAACGCCGCGUGGAGGAUGAAGUCCCUUGGGACGUAAACUCCUUUCGACCGGGACGAUGAUGACGGUACCGGUGGAAGAAGCCCCGGCUAACUUCGUGCCAGCAGCCGC